UAUAAUUUAAGGACUUGGGAGUAUUUUUCUUCUCCUAAACCCUUCACAUUCCCGUAUUCUACCGGCUCUAAUGGCAACUCGCGCCUUUUCAAAAUCGAAGUUCCCAAUUUUAACGUCAAUCCGCAUUCAAAACCUCACGAAAAACAGUAUUACGAGGUCCCCGUUUCUUGUAAAACCUCAAAUUCCACCUGUACAACCCGAUUUCCAUAAACCCAUUUCAGGGUUUAAGCAAUAUCAUGAUGGGAGACCGAGAGGUCCCCUUUGGAAAGGCAAAAAGCUGAUAGGGAAAGAAGCCCUUUUUGUAAUAUUGGGUUUAAAGAGAUUUAAGGAUGAUGAAGAUAAAGUUCUGAAAUUUAUCAAAACCCAUGUUUUAAGGCUAUUGAAGAUGGAUUUGAUUGCUGUUCUUUCAGAGCUUGAACGUCAAGAGGAGACUUCUCUGGCUGUAAAGGUUUUUGAGGUGAUUCAAAAGCAAGACUGGUAUACACCUGACGUCUAUUUGUAUAAGGACUUGAUUAUUGCAUUAGCGAGAUGCAGGAAAAUGGAUGAAGCAAUGAAGUUAUGGGGAUCUAUGAGAAAGGAAAAUCUGUUCCCUGAUUCUCAGGCAUACACCGAGAUCAUUAGGGGAUUCCUGAGGGACGGUUCUCCUGCCGAUGCAAUGAACAUAUAUGAGGAUAUGAUAAAAUCUCCGGAUCCACCAGAGGAGUUGCCAUUCAGGAUUUUACUAAAGGGGCUUCUGCCACAUCCUCUUUUGAGGAACAAAGUUAAGAAAGAUUUUGAGGAGCUCUUUCCAGAAAAGCAUGCUUAUGAUCCUCCAGAAGAAAUUUUUGGCAGAUGUUGAGGAUGUUGGCAUCAGCUAUUACCUCUGUUGAACCAGUGCUUCUUGUGCACUCAAAUGUGUUACUUAUUAGGGCUUCAAAUGAGUGAUCUUGACUGCAUAGGGUUGAUAGAAACUCGUACGGUUAAGACAGCAAUGCUUUACAAGGAGGAAGCAAAGAAUGAGUUACUCCAUUGAAGAAGAUCUUAUAUUGGAGAUAAUUCCUGUUCAGAGAUAGCAUGGUCGACAUGUCUGUGUCAUUAAGGAGUUCUCCCAUCUUAAGACUGCGGUGUACCUUAGAACAUGUCUUGGACUCAUUCACGUUAAAGUUUGCCCUUGAUUUAUUGCUAGAUGCACAUGGAAGAUGGAUAACAUUUGUUGGGCUCAUUCUUGAGACCUAACAGUUGCUGUAUAAUGUCCUGUUCAUGUUAUAAUGGUGACAAUGUUUAUAUUUACAUUAUAACUCGUAUUAUAAAUUUGUUUGAUGGUCAUGCUA